AUGCAGCUCUGCUGUUGGCUCACCAGAAGGGAUUAUUGGCCACAGCUGCUGGAGCAGUUUGGUGGCAGUGCUGCGCUGCUUACCUGCUCUGCAUCUCCAUCCUCCAUCCUCCAGGAUCCGGUCCUCCAGUUGGUGGGGAUGAACUCUUCAUCGUAUAAAAAUCAGCAACGAUGGCAAGCUCAGGAGCCAUAAGAAAUAUCUACUGAAAGAAAGAAAUCUGCUAGACAUUUUGAAGUGUUGUGUCCUCCCAUCUCUCCCCAGCUCCCACCCCCCACACUAUUUUUCCCAGUUCCAGCCUUAGCAGAUUUUGUGCAUUGCUAGUAAAGGAAUCUAAAAUAUUUUUGCUUUUAUAGAUUUUUGCUGUAACUUCCAGAUAUUCAGACAGCAUCAUACGGAAGACAAAAAGACUGCUUUCCCCAUAGCGUUCCUUCUCUUUCUGUACCUUGUUUAUUGAAUUGCCUUUUUUAAAAGAGAUCUUUAGAAUUAUAGAAUCAUAGAAUAUUCUGAGUUGGAAGGGUCCCAAAAUGAUCAACAAAUCCAACUUCUGGCUCCACACAGAAACACCCCCAAAUCAACAAUAUGUCUGAAAAUGUCCAAACACUUCUUGAACUUUGAGAGACUCGGUGCCAUGACCACUGCCCUGGGCAGCCUGUCCCAGUGCCCAACCACCUCUGGGCACAGAACCUUUCCCUAACACCCAGCCUGACCCUCCCCUGUCCCAGCUCCAUGCCAUUCCCUCGCGUCCUGUUGCUGUCCCCAGAGAGCAGAGCUCAGCACCUGCCCCUCAGCUCCGUCUUGUGAGGGAGCUGCAGGCUGCCAUGAGGCCUCCCCUCAGCCUGCUCUGCUCUGGGCUGAACAAACCAAGGGACCUCAGUCAGUGAAGGAAUUGUACUGCCCCUCUGAACAUUCUGACAUUUCAGUUGUUAAUAUCUUGCUUGUGGGACAUGAAGGGUAUGAGGAGAAAGGGGUUUCUCCUAUCCUUGCAGGAAAUAGAACAGUACCAGAAGCUGAACUGGAAGGCAAAACUCCUGUGCAUGUUUGAGAGAAGGAUGGGACACUCGGGAGCCAAAACAGCCCUAUCUUUGUCACCCUUA
rnacentral:lncRNA from 1 species